CCUACGGGAGGCAGCAGUGGGGAAUAUUGGGCAAUGGGCGCAAGCCUGACCCAGCAACGCCGCGUGAAGGAAGAAGGCUUUCGGGUUGUAAACUUCUUUUAUCAGGGACGAAGCAAGUGACGGUACCUGAUGAAUAAGCCGCGGCUAACUACGUGCCAGCAGCCGCGGUAAUACGUAGGUGGCAAGCGUUAUCCGGAUUUACUGGGUGUAAAGGGCGUGUAGGCGGGAGUGCACGUCAGAUGUGAGAACUAUGGGCUCAACCCAUAGCCUGCAUUUGAAACUGUACGGCUUGAGUGCUGGAGAGGCAAUCGGAAUGCAGGGGGUAGCGGGGAGAUGCGGAGCUAGACGGAGGAACAAGAGUGGAGAGGGCGGAUGGCUGAACAGGAACGGACGCGCAGGCGCGAAAGCGUGGGGAGCAAACAGGAUGAGAUACCCCUGUAGUC
rnacentral:rRNA from 1 species